AAGACAAAAAAAAGUACUUAUUUAAAUCACAAAAUAGACAUGGGAAUUGAUCCGGUAACCUCACUUGUAAAGGUGCACUCAAUACCUGUUUGUACCAUAAGAUUUCUUUAGUUUAGAUAUAUUUAAAUAAUUUUGGAGAAAUAAAAUAUUGUUAUACAUGUUCUCGGAAUAGGAGCAUGGAUUUACGUGCACCCCAAACUUUGGAUACGAUUUUGUAUGAAAUAUAUUAUUUGGGUAAAACAGUACACUUAACAUCGUAUGAUAUUGUCCGAUUUGGGUCAAGCCCGCACUGUUUUUUUUCAAAAUGCCUCGCACCAUUAAGAGAUCCCUACGCUUUAUAAGUACAGCAGUUGUGUAUGCGUCUUUGAAGUUACGGGUGCAAUCCACAUGAUCCGAGUAUUUAUAGUGACCGAAGCCCAUGCGUAUUUGAAGCUACAGGUAAAGGUAGUAAACCGGCUCAUAGACAGGCAAAGGCACUAAACCGACCCCCCACGCAACACUCUGCUAUCUCCAUACUUGUUCCGUCAAACCAUAGGCUCUGAUAUUAGCUAUUGGGCUGAAUCGACCUAAAGAUACUCUUAACAUGGUGUGAUAUUAUCUGUUUUGUACUAAGUCCGCACGGUUUUCCUCUGUGAUGACCCGAUAGAUCAUUUACAGUUUUAACCUUAAAUUCUAUUUUUUGAAACCUCGAUUAGAUCCGUUUAGCCUUCUUCGAUUUACGUGCAAAGUCUGUGUCUUUUUCCGAAAGGUUUUUACUUGAAAAUUUGAUAAAAUGUGAAAUCGUGCCCUAAAACUCAUUUGAGUUGAUUUCGGUCAACGUUUUAAGCAAACGAACCCGGAUCAAUAUUUUUACGAUUUCGGUGGGUCCGUAUCGUUAUUUGAGACUUGGGCGUAUACCUGGAAUCGAACUUGAAAGUCCCUAACUCGAAUUAUCGCAAUUUAUGGAAAACUAGAGGCUUAAGGGUUUAAAGAAUUAAUAAAUUCGACCGAAAUUUGACUUUGUUGCUACCGGGUCCGAAUUUUGAUUCCGAGACUUGGUAUAGGUUUAUUACUGUAUUCAUGACAUGUCUGCAAAUUUUGUUCAAAACGGAGUUAAUUUGACAUAAUUCGGAUAUCCGCUUGAAAUAUUUAAAGUUCUUAAGCUUCAUUGAAAAUUUCAUUCGUUUUGGUGUCUGUUUCGUAGUUUCAGGUAUUAUUUUGACACUUUGAUUGCGCGAGCAAGUUCGCAUGAUGUUAUAGGACUUGUGUGCAUGUUUGGUUGGGAGUCCCGAGGGCUCGGGUGAGUUUUGGAUAGGUUUCGAAGUGAUUUUGGAUUUAGGAAAAAUAACCGGUGCAUCUGGUUCUGAUGCAAGUCUCUCAUCUUGCAAUUGUGAGGCCAGUGUUCGCAUUUGCAAACAUUCAAAUUCCUGUUAGGUAAGUAUUUGCGAACUAAUUCUUCGUAUUUACGAAUAGGGGAUGGGUAAGCAAUAGAUCGCAUUUGCGAUCAAAAGGUCGCAUUUGCAGAGUCCCAGAGUUCGCAUUUGCGAACAAAUCAUCGCAAAUGCGAUGAUAGCAGAUAUGUGAGAUUCUUCACAUUUGCGGGAUUUACAAUUGCGAUAUCUGCGCCUAGACAAAAGUUCAGAAAAAUGAGAUUUUGGCUCAUUCUAUAAAAUUCUCAACCCUAAACACUUUAGAGAUGAUUUUCCCAAGAGCUUGUCUUCCUAAAUGCAUUGGUAAGUGACUCUAAUCUACUUUCUUUCAAUUACCCAUAACAUUUCAUAAGAUUUCAACCUUAAAUCUAGAAAUCCAUGGUAGAAAUUAGAGAUUUGGGUAGAAUUUGAAAUUUUUGUAAAAUUAGAAUUUAGAUCUUGAACUAAGGUCGGAUUUCGAAUUGAACUACAUAACCGGAUUCGGGGGUGAAUGGGUGAUCAAGUUUUGGUCUAAACCUCGAGUUUAGACAAAGCAAGUUCGGGGGUUGACUUUUGUUGACUUUUUCAAUAAUGAUCUAAAUGAACCUCUUGCAUUUGUGGCUAGUUUCUAAUGCUUAUUUUGAAUCAUUUGGUUGAUUAUUUGCUAGAUUUGGUUGGUUCGGAGGCUUGUUCGAAAGGCAAGGCCAUAGUUGAACUUUGAAUUGGUUGCGGAGCGAGGUAAGUGUCAUGGUUAAUCUUGACUUGAGGGAUUAAGACUUGUUUAUCUAUUUGCUACUUGUUUAAUGUGUGGGUACAACGUAUAUGUGAGGUGACGGAUAAUUAUGCGUUGUUGUUGGGUUAAAACAUGCGGGUAAAACUUGUUUCCUUGUUAUUUAUUGCCUCUUUAAUUAUGACAUUCAUGCUUAGAUUAAAUUAUUGCUUAUUUGAUCGUUGUUUCCAGAUUGAUGGAAUAAUUGGUAAUGGUUGAGUAUGUGGAAGUUGAGGUUUGGUAUCUUAGAAUCAUAAUUGACGUAAAGUACAUCCCUUGCAUUAUUUAUUUAUCAAAUUUGUGCAUUCAUCACGACAUGGUAAGGGAGAGUGUCAAAGCACGAAGGGUGAUGUCGUGCCAUUUCAUUACCUUAAUUAAUGAUUAAUACAUGGUAAGGAAGAGAGUUAAAGCCCGAAGGGUGAUGUCGUGCCAAUCUGUAUCAGUUAUUCAUUGUUACAUGGUCAGGACGAGAGUAAAAGCACGAAUGGUGAUCCCGUGCCAUUUCAUUUCUCUUAUGACAUCAGUUUAUGGUAAGGAUGAGAGUAAAGAACUAAGGGUGAUGUCGUACCAUUUUCAUAUCGUAUGUUAUUUGUCCUCUUUGGUUGAUGAUUUAUUUGACCAUCUGUGUUAUCCUUCUUGUUGUAUUUAUCGUAUCUUUUUUUCCCCUUUCGCAUGUCCCCUCCCAACUAUACAUAUUAAGUCUCCAUUUUGUUGACGUUUGGUACAUAAAUCUAUGUUUGUACAAGUUUAAUUAUGUGAAUGUCCUUUCAUAGCCGUGUCACUACCUCGUCAAGGUUAGGCUCGAUACUUACGGAGUACAUUGGGUUGGUUGUACUCAUACUACACUCUGCACUUCUUGUGCAGAUUUUGGUAUUAGACCUAGCUAUAAGUGAAGUGAACUAGCUCGGAUUAUUAUUCAGAGAGUUGAGGUAGAUCUGCCGACGUCCGCAGACCUUGAAGUCCCCUUCCUCUUUCCUCCUUUACUGUUCAUUUUAUUCGAAAUAAUUGUAUUUAUUUCAGAUUUGUAGAACUUUUAGGAGCUCAUGCACUUGUGACACCAUAUUCGGACUGUAUUAGAUUUUUCACUAUUUUUAUGGUUUUUCCCGCACCUUACUUCAACCUAUUUAUUUCAGUCUUAUUUUGGGGUUUUUUAUAUUAUUAUUUUAAUUUGGAAAUGGUUAAAAUGGGGGAUAAACUAUUCUAACAUUGACUUACNNNNNNNNNNNNNNNNNNNNNNNNNAAGAGACAGAGCUCGGCCUAGAGCUCGAGCAGCACCACCAACAGUGGAGCCUCAGGUAGAUUUUGAUGGGGAGGUCCCAGCUCAGGUUGUACAUGUUGGACCAACUCAGGUCCCGGAGGGGUUCAUAGCCACUCCAGUGCUUUCGGAUGCUCUGGUCCGUUUGGUGGGCAUUAUGGAGCGUGUGGCCCAAAUCGGUACUUUCCCGGUGGCACCGGCCGUCUCUCGGGCUGGGGGAGGAGCACAAACUCCCGCUACUUACACUCUGGAGCAGGUGGGUCCCCAGUUUCUGACUCCUGCAGCACUGCCGGUUAGGGAAGUUCAGCCGGUUGUUAUGGCACAGGCUGGUGAUAGGCCUGCUUUAUCUUCUGAGGCUAUGUUGAGGUUAGAUAAGUUCACCAAGCUCUUUCUUGUUCAUUUUAGUGGUGCAUCUUCUAAGGACCUACAGGAUUUUCUAGACCAUUGCCAUGAGGUGCUGCGGAACAUGGGUAUAGUUGAGACCAAUGGGGUCGAUUUUGUAGUAUUUCAAUGCGCGGCCUGAUAGGAUGGCAAAAACCUGCAUUUAAUUUAAUAUAUAAAAUGUCAUUAGAUUCAUUAUAUGCAAAAUUUCAUUGAAAGUUUUUAAAAAGAAAUUGAAGGAAAACUCACUCGUUGCCAUGGGGAACGAUAACCAGCCGAUGAAGAUGAUCGUAUUGUACAGUCCCUCCAGUAUACUGUCUCACGGUACCAGCAACUGUAGAAGUACUGGUAGAUGGGGAUGCGGCUGCGUGAGAUCCUCCAAUAUCCAAUUUAGAUAUACUUGGAGUGGAUGAUGCUGGAGAUGAUAAUUGAGUGGGGGAUGUAUGAGGAACAAAAGAUGAACCACAAUGCUAGCGAUGUAUUUAGUUUAUUUAAAGUAAUUAAUAGGUUACGCCAAUUCGAAGGUUCAAUUUUUUAACGUAUUAUAUUCUUUUAAAUUAAAAUUCAUUAACACUCCAAAUCUUAUAUUUAUCCCUAUUUUAUGUUAUAUAAAUUUUUCAAAAUAUAAAUUAAAUUUAAAUAGCUUCUUAUACGUUCAUAAAGACCACACAUGGCCAAUAAUUUGUCAAAUCUAUAAAUUCCUUUAAUGUAGCAAUUAUUAAGUUUUAAAUUUAAUAUUGUCCAUUUAAUAAAUUAGGAAGCGAUAAUAAGCUUAACUUCUUAAACUUAAAACUAAGGCUUUAAAUUAUAACUACUUGAUAUAAUUCUAAAUCAUUCUUCUCUAAAGUUAACAAUUCCGCAUAUACAUAAACUUCGGAAUUGUUAAAAUCACAUAUAGGUACUAACCUCAAUUUCAAAAGUGAAUUUAGUUUCAAACUUAAAUAUUAUUACAUCUAUGACAAUUCUAAAAAUAAAUCUAUGGCAAUUCUAAAUAAACAUCUAUGAAAAUUCUAAACUAGUAUCAAAUUUAAUUGAAUUAGAGAACUAAAAAGUAUCUAAAACUUGUAGGCAAGAUUUCUAAUGUAAAUUCUUGAAAUGUGAUUUUCUAUGAAUUCCUAAUGUGAUUUUCAUGAUGUAUUUUCAACAAAAAAAUUAGAUUCCUAAAUAAAUUCUAAAAUACUAUAGUCUUCUAUAACAAGAUGGGGACGACAGUGGGAGUGGGGGCGGGGUUGGGUAAAAUGAAGGGGUGAGGGAAGGGGGUUGAUAUAGGGGAUGGGUUUAACAAAAAGGAGGGCCGGGGAAGAAGAGGGAAGAAGUCAAGUACCUUUUCCGGCAAGCAACGGGCUGGGGGGUCUGGGGCUCUCAAUGGAGGAAGAAGAGAGAAGAAAGAAAGAAAAGAGAAGAAUAAAGAAAUGGGGGCGGGACUGGAGUUUUAAAAACGAUCUGUGACUGAUUUCAUCGCAAAACUAGCGACCGUUUCAGUCGCAACUUAAAAAAAUAAUUUGAUCACAGUUUAAAAAGAUAUCGACCGAAACGUACGCAAAUGGUCAAAUAAAAUUAUUUGACUUUAAAUUUCUGAAUCAAUCUGUCGUAAUUGUUUAUCCCAGAUUUUUGCACUAAACGUUGCAACCAAUGAUGUCGGAAAAAUAGUCGAAAGAAUUUAGAAAAAAUAUAACAAAUAUUAUUUUUGAAAAUUCCGACCGAAUCAGUCAGAAAUUUCCGACUAAUUUUUCUGGUCAGAAAUUUUCAGUCGCAAAUGAGUUAUCUUUUAGUAGUGUUCAUGCUAAUAUAGUAAGAAGUUGUUUCACAUUGAAACUAAAAUUUCAUGCUAAUGCAUGCUAAAGUUAUUUAUCCUGCAAUCUACAGUUUUGUCACGAAUUUUAUACGAAACUUCAUUCUAAACAUGUUAAAGUUAUUUAGUUCUUUUGCUAAAAUUUCAAACUAAACAUGCUUAAGUUUUUUAGUUCAUUUGCUAAAAGUUCAGACUAAACAUGUUUAAGUUAUUUAGUUCAUUUGCUAAAAUUGUAGACUAAACAUGCUUAAGUUAUUUAAUUCAUUUGCUAAAAUUUUAGACUAUAUAUGCUCAAGUUAUUUAGUUCAUUUACUAAAACUACAGACUAAACAUGCUUAAAGUUUUGUCUUGCAGUAUGUAAUUUUCUAAUGAGUUUUUGCUAACGCAUGCUGAACUUAUUUAGUUCAUUUGCUAAAAUUUCAAACUAAACAUGCUUAAAUUUUUUUAGUUCAUUUGCUAAAAUAUCAGACUAAACAUGCUUAAAUUAUUUAGUUCAUUUGCUAAAAUUUCAGAUUAAACAUGCUUAAAUUUUUGUCUUGUAGUAUGUAAUUUUCUAAUGAGUUUUUGCUAAUGCAUGCUGAAGUUAUUUAGUUCAUUUGACUAAAACUUUAUACCAAAACAUGCUGAAANCAAGCUGAAGUUUUUUUGUUCAUUUGCUAAAAUUUCAGACUAAACUUGCUUAAGUUUUUGUCUUGCAGUAUGUAAUUUUCUAAUUAUUUUUUUCUAAUGCAUGCUGAAGUUAUUUAGUUCAUUUGCUAAAGUUUCAUAUCAAAACAUGCUGAAAUUUUGCCCUGCAGUCUACAACAGAUACCUUUGACCCGCUUCAGAAUAGUAACACACGUGGCAAGUAUACAUGAACAUGAAAGCAAAUAUCACAGCGUGAGAUUCACAUAUGGGGAGUAUGCAACCAAACGAUCGUUGGGAUUUUCAAUAAUUAUAGGCUGAACUGAUUUUACUUAGACCACGAGAAAGGGCGAAUUUAGAAAUUUAAAAAGAUGAUUGCACUAUCACGAAGAUCAAAGAGGCGAAUUUAGAUUUUAAAUUUGACGGGUUUAACCUUUAGCUAACUUCGUACUAUUAAACCCAUUUCAAUUUUCUCUCCCAGAUAACCAUUUGAAAUUUUUUCUCCUUCAUUCAUCGAACAAAUCUCUGAAAAUAGGCAAACUCUCCGUACCUGUCAUAGAAGGGCGGUGUUACCGAUUCCCCCCUAUUGCAACCCCUAAUUCUGAUAUGUAAGUCGCUCCUAAUACCAUCUUCAUCAUUGAUUACGUCGCAACAUUGUCGUCGUGGUGCCUGUUCUUUUAUACAAUGGGUUCACCUUAAUUAGAUAUUUCAUAAACCAAAAUUGGUCUAUAUUUUUUAAGUGGAAAGUUUUGUACAUGUAUAGUCAUCAAUUUUAUGACAGUAAAAUUAAUAAGAAAGAUUUUAUGGAAAUAAAUAAAUUAAUCUGUCCUCUAUACUGUAUCAUUUUAUUUGGACUCAAUUUACCGUUAACAUAAAAUGUAUAAGAUCACAAGUUUUAAAAUUGAUCUUUAUUUUUUUGUAACUUUGUACCCUAGUCAAAUAUGAUUCACAUAAAAAUUACAAAUGGUAGAAGUUUACCUGUCUCCAAACUUGGGGAGGUAGAAUAGUAGUUGUGACAUUAACCAUAUGAAUUGCUAAUGCUGGUCUGUAAUUUUGGUUCUCGCAUUGCUUGUUAAUACCAGCAAUGGUACUAUAACUGGUCAAGGUUUCAUCAUUUUGAAGGUCAACAACUUGAUCCAAGUAGUACUCUAUAGGCCUUUUACAUGGUUCUACAUUGUUUGGCUGUGUACUGAAUGUGAAUGGUUCUUCAAACCCUUUCCAUGUCUUGAACGUUUGCAUUGGCAUCUCCAAUUCUCUUGCAUUCAUCAGCCAUGGAUAUAAUUGAAUUGAAUAUCCCCACGACACUGAUAAUGACCAGUUUAUCUUUAGUUCAUAGCACAAACUAUGUUUCAUCGUCCGACUUGGAUCCUUAUUGUAAGCCUCAAUCACUUUUUUCACUGACUCAAAUUUGCUCAUUGAUGGAAUAAGAGGAUGUAACAAGUACACAUCCAAAUGGUGCAGUGAGACAAGUGGCGCCACGGGAUGUGCUGCCAAAAGCCCUCGUGGAUUUCCUUGUAUAUCCAUCUUAAAACAAACAAGUGUAAAAUGGUAAAAUAAGAAAUUUAAAGUACAAUAAUGUCUUUAAAUAUAAAAAUAUAUUAUUUUCUUGGACAAAUAAAAAAGUAUGUCGCAUAAAAUGUGAUAAAUGAAGUAUUUGACAACUAUAUAUGUAUAAAAUUACUAUAAAUCAAAUUAUUUUAGAAUAAAAAAUACCUAAAAUAUUCGUUAAAAUUAUAGAGUAAUAAAAAUAAAUUGUUUGGCUCUCUAAAUAAUAAUGGUAUCAUAUAAAAGUGUUGGUUUUGAAUUUUUUUAAAGCAGAUUUUAACUUUUUUUGAAGCUCUUUUUUUAAUAAACCAGCUUUUAAGCUCAUCCAGGCUCAAAAGCUCUAUAAGAUGACACAUAGAGAUUAUAAUUGGUAAAAUUGCCCUUAUAAUGUUACUAUACUACUUUAAGUAAAAUUUAAGGUUUUAAAGAUUGUAUACCUGAUGAAAACCGGGUUCUUUCGUGAGAGAAACGCCAAUCUCAACCAUACAGCGUCUUCUGAUCAGAAGCGUACAUGUAAUGGUAGCGAUUAUACAACCAUCUAAAAUCUUCACUAACUCCUCCCCGAGAGGAUAGCUAAUAGCAAUGCCGCCGCCACCGAAUGCCUGACUAUAUGAACCUAAUACGUUUAUCUCCACACUUUCGGAAAUCCCACCAAUGUAAUACAUAUGGUUGUGAUCAUAUUUAGUCAAAACUGUCACUAAAUUCUUUGUAAAAAAACACAGUAUCAUCAUCUCCCAUUACGAAUCACCUCACAUUCUUUAAACCUAGUUCAAAGCUCUCCUUUAGAAUCCUCGCAAUCCUCACAGCUGACUUGUCACCAAACCAACAUGUAUAUUUGAAUUUGGAAGUGUUUUGGGAAAUCCUAUAGGGUGGGAAAUUAUCCGGCCAUGGCUCGUUUUCAUGGGGAUUUUCAUCGAGCCACACGAACCCUCGCGUUACAUUUGGUCUCCACCAGAACUCGAGUAACGCGAGCAAUUGUUCCAUGUUUUAGCUGACCCUCCAAUGCCAAAGAGGAUGUGGGAUAUGUUCGUUACUUCUUCUUCUUUGCUGAUAAUUUCUAGUUUAUUUGUAACCGCAGUAGCACUAUAAGCAUAUUUGUUAAAGAGAUGAGCCUUGGAGAUUAGAUAAAUGGAGGCCACUAAGCAGAACGCAAUUAGAAAGCUCCUGAUAAUGAAAAUGGUGCAAAGUUUUGGGACUAAUUUCUGGUUAUUAGGGAAAGGGACGUAACGUUUCCGGAGAGACAUCUCCUUCAUUUUGUAAAGAUUAAUUAUGACUCUUUGUUCAAUGGAUAAUGGUCUUCUACUUAAAACCUAUUGAACUAAAGGCGUGCAUCUUAUUUCUUGCUGCUUGAUUUCCUACGUAGUUAUGGAAUUUGUUUUUUUUUAAAUCAAAUUUUAUACUUAUGUUUCAUUUUGAACUAUAUUGAUGUACACAGUGUAAUAAAAUUUACACGUAUCAUAUUUACUUGUUGAAAUUUGCCUUACUUCAAAAUUAUAAAUUUUACUUUUUUAUGAAAAGAUUUUUCUAAAUAUCAUUUGAGGGACCUAAUAGUACAUAAGUUAAACUCGUAAUCCCUUUGUCUCAAUUUAUACGUCAGAAUUUGAAUUUCGGGAGUCAAACUUCUUAAUUUUAAGUAUAAAUUCAAAUAUAAAAUUUGUAAGUUUUUAAAAAUAUAAGUACUAUAAGUUACACGAAGAAAGUUAUACUAUUUUUACUUGGAUGAAUAAAAUUAUUAUCUGGGAGACGGAGGACUGUAGUGGACAACUAUUCAAAUCUCAAGGAAUGACUUUGUGUCAUGCAAUUCGAGCUAAACUGAAAUCAUUAUUUUCAUUGGGCGAUUUAUCGGUCCCUAAUUUACAAAAGAAGGUUGAACUAAUCCAUAGGGUAGCCAUGUUGCAGUGGAGCCAUUUUGGGUCACCCCCUUCAAUAAAUAAAAUGGAUGAGUUAGAUAAUCCAUGCAACUUUUGAAGUUUUCAUUGAGAUUUGAACUUUGGAUCAAUAUCUACAAUAAUUAAGUUAUUAUCACUUAGUUAUUUAUACAUUUAGACGAGUACAUAGAUCUUGUAGAAGCAAUAAUCUAUUUGAAAAAGUGCGUACGCUAUGAUUAAGAUUCACGGCAAUGGGCUUAAUAUACAUCUUUAAUAUCAGGCCCCAAUUUAAAACUCUGUUGCCAAUUAUACUUGUUAUAUAACACAUUGUACUUGUAUUAUAUAAAAAAGGCCAAAUACAUAUGUAGCCCCUUAAAGUUGUCAUCAAUUUUUACUUAGACACAAAUUGUUACCUAUUAGACACUUAAAGUAUGUCAAAACUAUUCCUAUUGAACACUUCAUGCAUAUAUGGCACAAGAAGUGAUUCUCACUUUGAGCUAGGCGCGUGAAUUACUGAAUCUUUCUCUUUCUCUCUUUUCUUAUUUCUUCUUUAACAAGACCCAGCCAUCAUCUUCUUCUUUUCAUGACUACUCUACUGCUAUGAAUAGAAAUAACAUAAAAAUAGACAACAAAAAGAAAUAAUAAAGAAAUAGAGAAAGAUGAAUUCUGACUUAUUAUUCUCUUGCUCUAAGAAUGAAAAGAUUAGAAAGUUUGCUUAAUUUUAUUUAUUUAUUUAUUUAUUUAUUUAUUUUUAAGCUAAUAAAAAGUUUGCUUUAUUGAUUUUCCAUUAUAGCCAUUUCGGUACGGAGAAAAUGGAGAUGAGUUACUUGAUUCCUUUAGCUCUUUUUAUUAUGGUCUGUGAUGAAUUCUCUUGCCGUAUUUUUGGAUGAAAAAGACAAAGCUAUCAAAAUAUUUUUUGGGCAUUGAUCUGAAACUCAAAAUGUGUUCUUUCGUUGUCCCCACCAUCUAGGUUCGCCGGAAACCACUAGUUGGGUUAAUGGUAGGAGAAGCCGUAUUUGGGUUUGACUUCAUAUCUUCUUGGUGGGAAAUGUUUCUUGCUAUUUUGUUUAUUUUUCUAAAAGACUGUAGUAUUUCUCUAAGAAAAUGAGAAUGCUAACAUCAAAACAUAAAUAAACUUGCCGGUUUCAACGGGAGAGAUGAGUUGUUCAUCCGAGGAGAAAGCAGUAUCCUAAGAAAGAAGAUGACAGUAAGAAAAGUCACGGAAAUUUUUUUCUUUUUUGGCAUUAUUUAAAUUUCUGACAUGACUCUUAUUUUUUGGCUGAUUUGUAAUCUCUUAAUUGAUUUGAUUUGACAUGUCAAAAGAGUCCUCGUGAAGUGAAAUGCACGUACUUAUGUUGGUUUGGAGUUAUCAAAUUUGUGUUUAAUAGGUAAGACUUUCGGUUGAAGUGUCUAGUUGAUAUUUCGUGACAACUUUAAGGGACUAUGUAUAUAUUUGGCCUAUAGAUAUAUGUUUCAAAUAAAUUGGUCAUCUAUACAUUGAACAUCUCUGUUUUUCAUAACUACAACAACAAUAUUCAUAAUGUAGUCAUGAAAAGAUUCUUGUUUAGAGAAGAAUUUAUUCUCUCAGUUAGUUUUAUUAAUAUUAGUAGAUUUAUUUAGGUCAAUUGACUAAAUCAUAUUAAUAUAGUAUGUUUUUUUAGUAUACUUUCUUUGUUGUCUAAUUUAUUGUCCAUCAAAUUUUAUAUUAUUAGUUUCCGUCACUAUAUUAUUUCGAUCCCAACAAGUGAUAUGGGCAUGCAUGGCAGAAUCAAUACUUGAACACGGCAUAGAAAUGGGCCAUGCAUCUAUGUGAACUUAGAAUUUUGCAAGAAAUUAAACUUGUGGUUACAAGAGAGAAAAUAAAUUAAAACUCAGUCGUAUAUCUAUGUGCUGGUUAUCAGACGUUGCAGUUUGUCCUCUUUUCUACUUUCCAGCAACCACAAACAAACAGGAUACAUAUAACUCUCAGUUUGCUUAUGUCUGCUCUUACAUCACCUUAUUUGUCUAUGAAACUGAAAUUACCACCAUAUUGGAUGCUCCCUCUUCAAUUCACAAACAAUAUUUGAAAUAAAAACAAAGAUUUUAACAUAAAAAACACUUAUUAAUCAUAAUGAGUAAAAAUAGUAUAUACUCCAUCACUAAAAUAAGAAAUUUCGAAAGUCUUCCGGGGAGGAGAUAGUGUGACGCAAGAGGUUCACCCGAAUCUUUUUCGCCGGAAAAUUACGUGUAUAUAAAAAGUUAAAGUGUAUAUAUAAACUAAAUCACUUUGCUUCUUGCCCGUAAAAUAUCCAAAUGACCAUACACUUCAAUAUAUUAAUUAAUAUAUAUUCAGAAAUUUUGAAAGUCAUUGGGGGGCAGAGAUAGUAGUACGCAAGGUCACUCGUGUUUGUGUUUAUUUAAAUUUUAAAUCUCUUAGUGAAAAAAUUCACAACCGAAUCUUAAUAAAGUAUUGAAGAGAUUAUUCCACACUAACUAAACUCCCUUACAUUCUUUGUUGUUUUUUUCGGGAACAACUUUUAUAGCCUAUUUGGUCAAGUUUCUCCUAGUUCAAAAGCAUUUUUUUUAAAAAAAAAUAUUUUUUUCUGAAUUUGAAGUGUUUGACCAAUCUUUUAGGAGAAAAAAGUAUUUUUAAGGAGAAGCAGAAGCAGUUUUAAAGAAGCGGAAAAAAAUAGCUUCUUCGCAGAAGCACUUUUUGGAGAAACACUUUUGAGAAAAAUACACUUAGAACCACUUUUUAAAAGCUUGGCUAAACAUCAAUUGAUGCUUAGAAAUACUUUUUAAAUUAAUUAUCCAAAUACAAACUGCUUCUCACUAUUAAUUUGCUUUAGAUGUCUCUUAAGAGAAGCUAAUAAGGAGACGUGGCCUCCAAAUUAGCAAAAGAAAAUGAGAUAAUUUGCAAAAAAUCCCACGCCACAAAAUUAUCCUUUUUUCCCAAGGCUUGUAGCCGAGCAUUUCCAUAUAAAAUAAGGUAAUAACAAAUCAUAUUCUCGUAUCUCUCCAGUAAAUUCAAUCAAAUGGCAGUUCUUACUCAAGAGCAACCACAUUUUGUGUUGUUUCCUUUUAUGGCACAAGGCCAUAUGAUACCUAUGAUAGACAUAGCUCGAUUAUUGGCGCAACGAGGUGUUAUUAUCACAAUUCUUUUAACACCCUCAAAUGCCAAUAGAUUCAAUACAGUCAUUGCCCGCGCUAUAGAAACAGGACUAAAAAUUCAAGUAAUUGACCUCUAUUUUCCAAGCUCAGAAGCAGGGCUACCAGAAGGGUGCGAGAACUGCGACAUGCUUGCAUCUAUAGAUAUGAUGAAGAAUUUCUUUCUUGCUGCUCAAAUGCUUGAGUCGCAAGUGGUAGACUUGUUGCAAGAAUUGAAUCCAUUACCAAGUUGUUUAAUUUCCGAUAUGUGUUUUCCUUGGACAACUAAUGUUGCCAAAAAUAUUAACAUUCCUCGGAUUGUUUUUCAUGGGAUGUGUAGCUUUUCUUUAUUGUGUUUACACAAUUUAAGAGGUGUUGGAAAAUGUUAAUUCGGAUAAUGAGUAUUUUUCAGUGCCUGGUUUUCCGGACAAAGUUGAACUGACCAAAGCUCAACUAAAAACCUUGGUUGAUCCAAGCAAUUCGGAAUGGGAAGAAUUUUUGGGCAAACAGAAGAAGGCAGAAGAUGAAGCUUAUGGGAUAGUGGUGAAUAGCUUUGAGGAGUUGGAACCAGAAUAUGUAAAAGCAUUGAAAAACGCCAAAGGUAAUUUUGAACUGUUAAAGUAUGCGACAAUCUUAUCUAAACACUUAUACAAGAAAGAUCAUAGUAUUAAUUAAUUAAUUAAUUAAUAAUAGUAUGUCUUAUUGUGCUUGCCUGAAUCGAGGUUUUAGUAGAAACAACCUCUAUAACUGCACAAGGUAGAAAGUAAUUAAGGUAUGCAUACAUACUAUCAUCUCCAGACCCUACAUAGGAGAAUACACCGGGUAUAUUGUUGUUGCUGUUGUGAUUUAUAUUAUAUCUCAAUUUUCAUGGAUCAAACACAUCAAAAUAAUAUUCUUUCCUUACGGAUGGUGUCAUAUUUGAAUCCACGGUCUGUACUUCGUCUAAUAUCACAUUGAAUUGUGUGGUCAUCAAAUCUUAUAGUUUAAUAUUGAUAGACAAACGCACUUUUAAUUACAUAAUUAUAUUAUAUCACCCAUAACCACCGCUUACUUUAAUAUCAUAUUGAAUUGCGUGACAUUUUUUUAAAAGUUUAAGUUGUUAAAAAAAAAACUUUUUUUAAUUACAUUACUACGUUAUGUCUCAACACAUGUGGUUUGGUUUUUUUUCAUAGGCUAAGCACGUGAAAAUUUUUGUUAUUUCUGGGUGGUAGUGAGAUUUGAAAGCAUGACCUAUACGUGCUCUAAUAUUAUGUUGAAUUGUGUGAUGAUCUUAUUUAAAAGCUUAAAUUAUUAGAAGGAGCAUACUUUUAAUUAAUAAAUUAUAUUAUGUCUCGAACAGGCAAGAAGUUUGGACAAUUGGUCCUGUUUCCCUGUGCAACAAAGAGAAACAAGACAAAGCAGAAAGUGGAAGCAAAGCCUCAAUAGAUGAACACCACUGCCUGAAAUGGCUAGAUUCUAAGGAACCAAACUCUGUCCUCUUUGUUUGUCUUGGAAGUUUAUCGCGCUUGCGAACAUCACAAAUGAUAGAACUUGGACUUGGAUUAGAGUCAUCUGAACGACCUUUCAUUUGGGUUGUUACACACAUCUCAGAUGAAUUUAGAAAAUGGCUAAAUGAAGAGAAUUUUGAGGAAAGAGUUAAAGAACAUGGGAUUUUAAUCCAUGGUUGGGCCCCACAAGUACUAAUAUUAUCACACCCUUCUGUCGGGGGAUUCUUGACACACUGUGGAUGGAAUUCGAGCAUAGAAGGAAUAUCUGCUGGCGUGCCAAUGAUUACUUGGUCAUUAUUUGCUGAGCAAUUUUGUAAUGAGAGGCUAAUUACGAAUGUUCUCAAGACAGGAGUAAAGUCUGGCAUAGAGAAUCCUGUUAUGUUUUUCGAGGAGGAAAAAGUGGAAACACAAAUGAAUAAAGAUGACAUUAAGAUGGUUAUUGAAAGAUUAAUGGGUGAAGAAGAGGAAGCAGAAAUGAGAAGAGAAAGAGCUAAAAAGCUUGGAGAAAUUGCAAGAAAGGCUGUGGAGGAAGGGGGUUCCUCUUACCUAAACUUGACGAAACUAAUACAAGAUGUCAAAGAGCAAGCUAAUUUUGGAAAAUCUAUUUGAAGUCUAAUAUUUGAUUAGGAUAAUGCAAUAUACUGCAUACAUAUUUCAUUUGAAGCUUUAGCAAACUGUUAAUGAUACAGAAUGUUUUGUUUACAAUCUAUAGUGGGCGUUGUCUAUUUCCAUUUUGACGGGCACUUUCGCCUUUGUUUUACCCACGGCAUAUUAAUGCGGUGGCAAAUUGCAGCAUGGAAAUAUAGAGAUAGUCCAAUCUGCAAUAUGUGGACUUCAAGAUAAGGUUUUUGGGAAGCUAUAUGAAAUCAGCAGCAGAUCGAGGAUUUCACAAGAAUGGAGGCACUAUUAUGAAUAGACGGAUCCGUGAUUUACUUUUGAAAUUAUAAGCUAAGUUCAAGUCUUUUUAUUUUUUAAAAAUGUGAUUUCACACACACACACACACACACACACACAUAUAUAUAUAUAUAUAUAUAUAUAUAUAUAUAUAUAUAUAUAUAUAUAUAUAUAUAUAUUAGUUGAACCAUUGAUUAAAAAACAAGAAUGGAGAUUUCAUGUCAACCUUGGGGAUUUCGACAUAAUAAACCAAAUAGAGAAAGAAAGACCAAAAAAAAA
rnacentral:lncRNA from 1 species